rnacentral:lncRNA from 1 species
UUGUGUCAGAUGCAAAGGAAGUGAGAAAUGGACAGUAUGGGUACCAUGUUGUCGUUAUCACCACUAGGUAAUAGAAUAGGAGUGGGGCUCCUAUUAAGGAUUAUUCUGUGGUGUUAUAUUCUGUUGUUGCUUAUUUGUGUUUCAUUUUAGUGUUUCAGGCAUAUAAGAGAGUCGCAUUGACGGUUAGGACCUGUAAGCGUUGUCGUACUGUAAUUACUUACAGUAUGUAAAAAUUAGUGAAAACAUGUAAUAUGAUUAUAAGUCUUAAUGUGAGUUAGAAUAGUUAGUAUGUUAAUUUAAAAUGAAUUGAAAUAAGAAAAAUUAUUUGGAAGUUAAUCUAGUUU